AUGGUCAACCCCACCGUGUUCUUUGACAUCGCAGUCACGGCGAGCCCUUGGGUCACGUCUCCUUUGAGCUGUUUGCAGACAAGAUUCCAAAAACAGCAGAAAACUUUCAUGCUCUGAGCACUGGAGAGGAAGGAUUUGGUUAUAAGGGUUCCUGCUUUCACAUAAUUAUUCCAGGAUUUAUGUGUCAGGGUGGUGACUUCAUAUGCCAUAAUGGCACUGGUGGCAAGUCCAUCUAUGGGGAGAAAUUUGAUGAUGAGAACUUCAUCCUAAGGCAUACACGUCCUGGCAUCUUGUCCAUGGCAAAUGCUGGAUCCAAUACAAACGGUUCCCAGUUUUUCAUCUGCACUGACAAGACUGAGUGGUGGAUGGCAAGCAUGUGGUCUUUGGCAAGGUGAAAGAAGGCAUGAAUAUUGUGGAGGCCACGGAGCGCUUUGGGUCCAGGAAUGGCAAGACCAGGAAGAAGAUCACCAUUGCUGACUGUGGACAACUC